AACGAACGCUGGCGGCAGGCCUAACACAUGCAAGUCGAGCGGACAUCUUCGGAUGUUAGCGGCGGACGGGUGAGUAACGCGUGGGAACGUGCCCUUUGCUUCGGAAUAGCCUCGGGAAACUGGGAGUAAUACCGGAUGUACCCUUUGGGGGAAAGAUUUAUCGGCAAAGGAUCGGCCCGCGUUGGAUUAGGUAGUUGGUGGGGUAAUGGCCUACCAAGCCGCCGAUCCAUAGCUGGUUUGAGAGGAUGAUCAGCCACACUGGGACUGAGACACGGCCCAGACUCCUACGGGAGGCAGCAGUGGGGAAUCUUAGACAAUGGGGGAAACCCUGAUCGAGCCAUGCCGCGUGAGCGAUGAAGGCCUUAGGGUUGUAAAGCUCUUUCACCGGGGAAGAUAAUGACGGUACCCGGAGAAGAAGCCCCGGCUAACUCCGUG
rnacentral:rRNA from 1 species